ACCAUUGUGGUGUAGUGGUUUGAGCAUUUGACUAUGACUCUGGAGACUAGGGUUCGAAUCCCUGUUCAGCCAUGGAA
rnacentral:tRNA from 1 species